rnacentral:rRNA from 1 species
AACUUUCUAAAAAGAAAAGAUAAAAAUUUAUUUUAAAGUAAAAAAGCUUUAUAGCCUUAGAAAGACGAGAAGACCCUAGAACCUGUUCUAUUCAUAUAGUUUGUUGGGGUGACAUUAUUCAAAACAAAUAACUAUUAAAACUUAUUAAUUGACUCUAUCUAUCUUUAUUAAAAAAAAAAAAGGUACUCUAGGGAUAACAGCAUAAUCUUCUUCUAAAGCCCUAAUCGACAAGAA